rnacentral:tRNA from 1 species
GUAUCGGUGGUUAAGUGGUAGAAUGCCCGCCUACCAUGUGGGCUGUACGGGUUCGAUUCCCGUCCGAUGCA